GAGCCCGUGGCUUAGCCUGGUAUAGCACUGCUCUGAUAAGGCAGGGGUCGUGAGUUCAAAUCUCAUCGGGCUCA
rnacentral:tRNA from 1 species